AGCGAACGCUGGCGGCAGGCUUAACACAUGCAAGUCGAGCGGGCGUAGCAAUACGUCAGCGGCAGACGGGUGAGUAACGCGUGGGAACAUACCUUUUGGUUCGGAACAACACAGGGAAACUUGUGCUAAUACCGAAUAAGCCCUUACGGGGAAAGAUUUAUCGCCGAAAGAUUGGCCCGCGUCUGAUUAGCUUGUUGGUGAGGUAACGGCUCACCAAGGCGACGAUCAGUAGCUGGUCNGAGAGGACGAUCACCCAGACUGGGACUGAGACACGGCCCAGACUCCUACGGGAGGCAGCAGUCGGGAAUUUGCGCAAUGGGCGAAAGCCUGACGCAGCGACGCCGCGUGAGGGAUGAAGGCCUUGG
rnacentral:rRNA from 1 species